UAAUAAUUUAAUUUCAGUUAAUUAGUUAAUUGAAUUAAUUGAUUUAUAAAUUUAUUUUUCAAAAUUUUAUUAUUUAAAUAGUAAUAGAUGUUAGGUAAAGAUUUAAUUUAAAAAUGAAUGGAAAUUUGAUUUAGUUAUUAAAUUUAAUAAAGGUAAAUUUAGUGCCAGCAACAGCGGUUAUACUUAAUUUGUAAAUUAACUUAUUUAAUUUUUGAGUGAAUGAUUAUAUUAUAAAUUUAAAUAUAAUUGUAGAUUUAUGGUGAAAUAUUUUUUUUAAUAUAAAUUAAAUUUUAUUUAACUAACAUUUGAUAAAUUUUUUUAAUAAACUAGGAUUAGAUACCCUACUAUUGUAAAUAAUUUAAAUUAAAUUGGUUAUUAAAUGUAAAUCAUUAAAAUUAAUAAAUAUGGCGGCUUUAUAAUUUAUUUAGAGGAAUUUGUGUUUUAAUUGAUAGUCCACAAUUGGAAUUACUAUAAUAUAUAUCUUUGUGUAUUGCUGUUUUAAGAGAUUAUUUAUAUAUAUUAUUCUUAUUAUAUUGUAUUUAAUAAGAAUUCAAGUCAAAAUGCAGGUUAUUAUAGAUAACAUGAAUUACAUUAAAUUAUAUUUUUGGAUAAAUUAAUUUAAUUUAAUUUUAAAAUUGGAUUUAAAAGUAAAUUUAUUUAACUAGAUUUGUUGAAGGUAAUUUUAUUUAGUGUACAAAUUGCCCGUCAUUCUCAUUAUAAAUGAGAAAAGUCGUAACAUAGUAAAUGUACUGGAAAGUGUAUUUGUUUAAAA
rnacentral:ncRNA from 1 species